rnacentral:rRNA from 1 species
CAGCAGCGCGGUAAUACCGGCGGCCCGAGUGGCGGCCACUAUUAUUGGGCUUAAAGCGUCCGUAGCCGGGUUGGUUAGUCUCCCGGGAAAUCUGGCCGCUUAACGGUCAGAAUUCCGGGAGAUACUGCCAGCCUAGGGACCGGGAGAGGCCGAGGGUAUUCCCGGAGUAGGGGUGAAAUCCUAUAAUCCCGGGAGGACCACCUGUGGCGAAGGCGCUCGGCUGGAACGGGUCCGACGGUGAGGGACGAAGGCCAGGGGAGCAAACCGGAUUAGAUGCCCGGGUAGUCCUGGCUGUAAACGAUGCGGACUUUGUGUCGGACAAGCUAUGAGCUUGUCCGGUGCCGGAGGGAAACCGUUAAGUCCGCCGCCUGGGGAGUACGGCCGCAAGGCUGAAACUUAAAGGAAUUGGCGGG